rnacentral:piRNA from 1 species
UGGGUGUUUAAGAACAUAUGAGCUGGCAGGU